rnacentral:rRNA from 1 species
AGAGAGAGACAUGCGCGCAUAUCAAUAAGCGGAGGAAAAGAAACUAACGAGGAUUCCCUUAGUAACGGCGAGUGAAGCGGGAAGAGCUCUAAAUUUGAAAUCUUCAAGGUUCUACCUUGACGAAUUGUAGUUUAUAGAAGUGUUUUCUGUUAGUGGAGUGGUAAAAGUUCUUUGGAAUAGGACAUCAUAGAGGGUGAGAAUCCCGUAUUUGACCAUUAUUUUCGGCUGUGUGAUACACUUUCAAAGAGUCGGAUUGUUUGGGAAUGCAGUCCAAAAUGGGUGGUAAAUUUCAUCUAAAGCUAAAUAUUGGCGAGAGACCGAUAGCGAACAAGUACCGUGAGGGAAAGAUGAAAAGAACUUUGAAAAGAGAGUUAAACAGUACGUGAAAUUGUCAAAAGGGAAGCGUUUGACACCAGUGUUGUUUUCUCGAAAAUCAAUUAAAAAUGGCUGGGAUUUUGCGUUGUAUUGACUUUAUCAGCUUUCUGCACCUUUUUUCCUUAUCUUUUUUAAUGCACUUUUCGUUUAACAAGUCAACAUCAAUUUCUUUUGUUGUAAAAGAGUCAUUGGAAGGUGGCUUUCAUUUCGGAUGAAAGUGUUUAUAGCCUUUGACUUCUGCAAUCGGAGAGAUUGAGGUCUGCAGCGUAGAUCCUUCGGGGUUAGAUAGCAUUUGUGCUAAGUUAUAGCUUUUCAUAGACAACAUGUCGACUAUGAUUAAGUCAUGUAGCUUACUCGCUUAUGCUAUUUUACCUACGCUUAGGAUGUUGAUCUGUAGUGCGUGCGC